UGUCUCAGGGCGGGGUGAAAUUCCCCACCGGCGGUGAUGGCGCCCCGUGCGUCGAGCCCGCGAGCGCCUGCGUAAUGCAGGGUCCAGCAGAUCCGGUGCGAUCCCGGAGCCGACGGUCACAGUCCGGAUGAAAGAGAAU
rnacentral:ncRNA from 2 species